rnacentral:rRNA from 1 species
AUUGAACGCUGGCGGCAGGCCUAACACAUGCAAGUCGAGCGAGCGGCGGACGGGUGAGUAAUGUAUGGGGACUGCCCGAUAGAGGGGGAUAACUACUGGAAACGGUAGCUAAUACCGCAUACUAUCGGAUAACCCAUAUGGGAUUAGCUAGUAGGUGAGGUAAUGGAUCACCUAGGCGACGAUCCCUAGCUGGUCUGAGAGGCUGAUCAGCCACACUGGGACUAGUACACGGCCCAGACUCCGACGGAGGCAGCAGUGGGGAAUAUUGCACAAUGGGCGCAAGCCUGAUGCAGCCAUGCCGCGUGUAUGAAGAAGGCCCUAGGGGUGUAAAGUCCUUUCAGUCGGGAGGCGUUACCGACAGAAGAAGCACCGGCUAAGUCCGUGCCAGCAGCCGCGGUAAUAC